rnacentral:pre_miRNA from 1 species
AGCUUUCUGAAUCCGUGCACACACUUCGUCAGACACCAACCCAUCAGGGCUGGUUAGACUUUCAAGAUAAGCGAAGUU